CAGCGUCGUCCCCAGCCUGAGCGUGAUGGAGGAGGAAGAGGAGGAAGAGGAGGAGGAGGAGGAGAGGGGAGGGGGCAGCAGCGAGGAGCCCCCCCCGCAGCUGGACCAGGUCCGGGACCUCUUUGACUCCACCGUCCUGGGAAUCGAGGACUGAGCGUGGAGCCGCAGCCGGAAGGCGUCGUUUCUGGUUUUGCCUGUUUUUCGCCGUUCUGAGCCCAAAAUGUUGGGGGUGCCAACCGCCACCCCGCACCCCCGCACCCCGUUUGGUUCAAUAAAGAGCGGGAUUGGCAA